GUCUAGAUUUUGGUUUCCAAUUAGCUGAUUUUUCAUGAAGCAGCUAGCAAAUUUUUCGAGUAUGACGUGGUCUGUUACAGUGAUCACACUGUAUCCGAGGCUUCUCAUCAUGCUUGUGCUGAUCGGGGACACUCCAUCCACUAGCAUUGGCUUCAGUAGCAACCAACACGGAGUUCUCAGUCAGACCACUAGUGCCAGUAUUCUUUUUCUCGAGCAUUACCGAUUUGUGGCUUUCCUCCCGACAAACCUCUAAAAAAACUUCAUUGAGUGAAGACAGAGGAUUUCAUCUAAUAAUCCUUCCUUGAACCUCAUCAAAUUCGACAUUGAGACCAAUAAGAAAUUGGAAGGCUCGAUUAGCCUCCACAAUUUUUUGAUUGUGUUUGCAAUCGUUAGAAGACUUCUACUCAUAAUCAUUGAACAGAUCCAGAUGUUGCCAUAUUCGUUUCAGAGAAUGGAAGUAUUUGGUGACAGUGUCACUUCCUUGUCAGACUUCUCCAAGUUUUAGAGUAAGUUCAUAUAUUUGAGAUUGAUUAUCCAAAUCAAAAUACAUUUGGAUAACAUUAUCCCACAAUUCCUUAGCAUUCUGAUAACACAUGUAAUUGGAACUAAUAUUCUCGUCCAUAGAAUUCACAAGCCAAGUCAUUACCAUUG
rnacentral:lncRNA from 1 species